rnacentral:rRNA from 1 species
GACGAACGCUGGCGGCGUGCUUAACACAUGCAAGUCGAACGGAAAGGCCCUGCUUUUGUGGGGUGCUCGAGUGGCGAACGGGUGAGUAACACGUUAGUAACCUGCCCUUGACUUUGGGAUAACUUCAGGAAACUGGGGCUAAUACCGGAUAGGAGCUCCUUCUGCAUGGUGGGGGUUGGAAAGUUUCGGCGGUUGGGGAUGGACUCGCGGCUUAUCAGCUUGUUGGUGGGGUAGUGGCUUACCAAGGCUUUGACGGGUAGCCGGCCUGAGAGGGUGACCGGCCACAUUGGGACUGAGAUACGGCCCAGACUCCUACGGGAGGCAGCAGUGGGGAAUAUUGCACAAUGGGCGGAAGCCUGAUGCAGCAACGCCGCGUGCGGGAUGACGGCCUUCGGGUUGUAAACCGCUUUCGCCUGUGACGAAGCGUGAGUGACGGUAAUGGGUAAAGAAGCACCGGCUAACUACGUG